GGGGUUGUGGCUCAGUGGUAGAGCACUCGCCUAGCAUGUGUGAGGCACUGGGUUCAAUCUCCAAUACCACA
rnacentral:tRNA from 1 species